rnacentral:rRNA from 1 species
GACGAACGCUGGCGGCGUGCUUAACACAUGCAAGUCGAACGGUGAAGCGCCUUCCUUUUUGGUGGGUGUGGAUGAGUGGCGAACGGGUGAGUAACACGUGAGUAACCUGCCCCCUUCUUCUGGAUAACCGCAUGAAAGUGUGGCUAAUACGGGAUAUUCUGGGUCUGUCGCAUGAUGGGUCUGGGAAAGAUAUUGUUUCGGUGGGGGAUGGGCUCGCGGCCUAUCAGCUUGUUGGUGGGGUGAUGGCCUACCCAGGCGGUGACGGGUAGCCGGCCUGAGAGGGUGGACGGUCACACUGGGACUGAGACACGGCCCAGACUCCUACGGGAGGCAGCAGUGGGGAAUAUUGCACAAUGGGCGCAAGCCUGAUGCAGCGACGCCGCGUGAGGGAUGGAGGCCUUCGGGUUGUGAACCUCUUUCGCCAGUGAAGCAGGCCUGCCUCGUUUGUGGGUGGGUUGACGGUAGCUGGAUAAGAAGCGCCGGCUAACUACGUG